CUCCAUUGUGUAGGGAUUUGUACAAUGCUUGAACAAGGCUAUUCAAUUUGACAUUGGUGUCUGCCUUUAUCCAACAUAUCAUACUGAAACAUGGUAUCAGAAGUGGCUCGGAAAACACACGUUUGUUAUUUUUGUAGCUAAGUACAGUAUAGGCGCAGUUACGUUCCAUAUGCGAACACACUCCGUUUCCUACUCACAACACUGAUCAACUAGCUGGCUAGCUACCAUCACUACCUACCUCGAUGACUGAAGGCAAAGAAAUCUCCUAUUCUAUCGCUAUGGCAGCGAACAUAACGUCACCAAAUCCCAUGGUUCUCACAGGGGACUGGAAUACUAAUUGGGACAACUUCAGGGAUGAAAUCAAGGACUAUGCGCUGGCGACCGGUCUACAUGAGAAUCCCAACGAGGUACAAGCUGCAACUCUGAGAAGUUUAAUGGGCAGCAAAUGCAGGCAUAUCUACCGGCACAAUCUCACCCUCACAGCACGACAACAGUGUGAUGCAAAGGCUAUAUUGGGUGCAUUGGAGAAUUACUUCAAACCCGCCAGAAAAGUCAUUUACGAGCGGUUCGUUUUCGGAAGAUGCAAACAGGAAGAGGGUGAGUCAGUACACAACUUUGUAACCCGUUAGAGAGAGAAAUCCGCCACUUGUGAAUACGGGGGGUUGAAAGAUGAAUUGAUUCGUGACAAAAUAGUACUGGGAAUUGCAUAUGAGGAUACGCGCCGGCGUCUACUAAGAGAGAGAGGCUUAACAUUAGUAACUACCAUCGAAAUGUGCCGCACUGCUGAAGUCACUGACAUGAGAAUGAGAGCAAUGGAAAUCGAAACCCCACGCUCCGACGUUGAUACUGUUCAUGCUGUUGCUUGGCAGACAUUCAGACAAAACCAAUCGAGGCAGAGUAAUUCACCACAAACGGUGAACACAGAGAGCCCAGUAGCAUGUAAAUACUGUGGGAAUUACACACACAUGUGGCAAAGAGCACUGCCCUGCCUAUGGAAAACCAUGCAGAUCUUGUGGAACUAAUAAUCACUUUGCAAAAGUGUCUCAAAAGCAAAAGGAGGGUGUGUGAGGGCAAGAUUCACUGUGUUGAUGAUAUCACUCAAUGUUCAGAGCUGAACAGUGAAAGUGACAUUUACAUGCAUGAAUCCAUUGGGGCUGUACACUCAAGAGGGAAGAAAUGGUUUGUGACACUACGAUUACACAACAAGCAACAACAAUGUCAACUGGAUUCGGGUGCUACAUGCAACUUAAUGAGCUACAAAGACAAAAUCAAUCUGGCACCUGACACCUAUUGCCCAGCGAUACUAGACUAAAGCUGUACUCAGGAGAGCUAAUGAGCUCUAUGGGCACCUUUGAGACCAAAUUUGUUAUUCGGGGAUGCAAACACAAGCUGGAGUUUGAGAUUGUGAAAACCAGUCAACAUCCUCUCCUCUCAGGCUCUCCAUGCGAACGCCUGUGACUGAUGCAGUUCACUGUACCAAAUGACCUGCACAUUGUGGAUCAUGUCCAGCAUGGACCCCUGUCCAAAGAACAACCACUCAGCAGAUAUGACGAUGUAUUGAACAUGCCCGUUGAAUCUGUGCCUGGGGAAGUACACUUUGAAGUGGAUGAGAGCAUCACUCCAGUCCAGUGUGCUCCUCACAAUGUGCCCAUUGCAAAUGAAAGUGGCUGUGAAGGCCCGGCUGGACAAGUAUGAGGCCGAUGGCCACAUGACAUCUGUGACUGAACCAACUGUCUGGAUCAGCAAUAUGGUCAUAGUGAAAAAAACAGAGAAGCUGAGGGUCUGCAUCGACCCAAAGCAUCUGAACCAAGCACUGAAACGAUCCCACUACAUCAUGCCGACACUAGAGGAUAUCCUCUAAAAGUUUCCCAAGGCCAGGAUUUUCACCUUGGUGGAUGCCCAAGAUGCAUUCCUUUCAAUGCAAGCUGGACAAAGAAAGCAGCUUCAUGACUACCUUCUGGACCCCCUGGGGUCGGAAACGCUGGCUCAAGCUCCCGUUUGGUGUCUCAGUGGUGUCUGAGAUACGCAAACAGCACGAGUUACUGGCUGGGCUCAAGGGCAUUGAACCCAUCGCCGAUGAUGUCCUGGUCGUAGGCUGUGGUGACACAGACGAAGAAGCAGAACGCGACCACGAUGUGAAGCUCGUGGCACUGAUGGAGCGCUCCCGAUCAGUUAAGCUUCAUCUUGGCCUGAAGAAGCUGCAGUUCAAGGAGAAAGACGUCCACUUCCAUGGCCACAUUCUCUCUGCAAAAGGCCUGAAGCCGAACCCAGACAAGGUCAGAGCGAUCCUCGACAUGCCAAACCCGUCUGAUGCAAAAGGAGUAAAAGUUCAUGCCAAACCUAUCAGCAGUCUGUGAGCCUCUGCGCCGGUUGCUGGACAAAGACACACCAUGGCACCGGCUACCCAAGCACAAGGCUGCAGUGCAGGAGAUGAAAUCUCUGGCUUCAUCCAUGCCAGUGUUGUGCUACUACGACGUCAUGAAGCCUGUCACAAUCCAGAGCGACUCCAGCCAAAGGGGACUUGGAUGCUGCCUUAUGCAGGAAGGCCAGCCCAUUGCGUAUGCCUCGAGAGCGCUCACCCCCACCGAACAAAACUAUGCACAAAUUGAGAAAGAGUGCCUCAGCAUCGUCUUCUCCUGCCAGCGAUUCCAUCACUAGUUAUAUGAGCGAGAGCUGGUCACCGCUGAAACUGACCACAAACCACUCAUUUCCAUAUUCAGUAAACCUCUGCUCAACGCGCCCAAGAGGCUUCAAAGCAUGCUCCUGACUCCUGACGGUCAUUUACAAGCCAGGACCAGAGAUGUACAUCAGCGACACACUGAGGAGGGCAACAACACAAUGUACAGGCAAGAGGCACUUUUUAUCAGUGGCAGGCCAUCUGUUUUCUACAGCAGGAACAACAAGAUGUUCAACAGAUCAAUUAGGCAGAAUACUUAAACGUCACAGAUCACUGCCUAGCCCAGAUCAGGCAACACACUGACAAGGACGAACACCUACAGUCACUGAAGUCCAUGGCUCUCGCAGAUUGGCCAUACCUGAAAAAGGAGACACCUUUCACAGUGAGAGAAUACUGGACCUUUCGAGAUGAGAUCAGCAUGCAAAAUGGUGUCUUGUUCAGAGGUCAGAAGGUCAUUAUUCCCAAAUCACGACGUCCAGAGAUGCUUACCUGCAUACACUCCAGUCACGUUGGAGGUGACGCAUGCUACCGCCAGGCUCGUGAAACAUUAUACUGGCCAGACAUGCAAGCAGAAAUUAAAGACUUUGUCAGCAACUGUACCACAUGCAACGAGUACGCUCAUGAACAGCAAAAGGAAACCAUGAUGUCACACGAACUGCCCACAAGGGCCUGGCAAAUCGUCAGCAUUGGACUUAUUCAGCCACGGACAAAAGGACUAUCUUCUCAUGGUUGAUCACUACUCUGACUUUUGGGAAAUUGAACUGCUCCCUGACUGCAAGGCAAGGUCAGCCUGACAAGGUAAUCACGGACAAUGGCCCACAAUUCACUGCACAGUUCAAGCUUUUCGCUUCAGAAUGGGAGUUUGACCACGUGACCUCCUCUCCAAGACACCCAAAAGCAAAUGGCAAGGCAGAAUCAGCUGUCAAGAUUGCAAAAAACCUGUUAAGCAGGGCCUUGCGCGACACCAACGACCCAUGGAAAGCGAUCUUACAGUGGAGGAACACACCCCCUGAAACCAUGGACAGUAGCCCAGCACAACGCCUUCUGUCCAGACGUCUGAAGACUACCAUCCCAAUAGCUAACAAGCUACUUGAGCACUGAGUCAUGGCUGGUGUCACGGACAAACUGUGUCACAGAAAGCAGCUCGCUAAGUGCUUCUAAGACCGGACUGCUCGAGACCUACCAGAGCUGGAGGUGGGUGAAACGAUAAGGAUGAAACCGCUGCCGGGAGACCACACAGGACUUUGGAGGCUGGGCACAUGCCUGCAGAGAGUUGCACCACGUUAUUACCUGGUGGAUGUUGGUGGCUGCCUCUAUCGUCGCAAUCGGGUGGAUCUGCGCGUAGCAGAGCAGACAAACCAGAACACGCCAUACACUCACCUAGAUGAGCUGGAUCACAGUCCAGGCCUAAGGGUAAGGGGCGCAGAAUUGAGACAUGAGCCAACUGAAGGUGAGGCUUCUACCCCACCAAGCUCUCCAGCUCGUGGCCCUAAUCCUACCCCUGUCAGUGCAAAUACUUACUCACAGGUUGGUUGUGCAAGCCACCGGACAGGCUUACUCUGUAAGCAAGAGACUGUUAACUUGCCCUCGGUUAAUUAAAAUAUAUAUUUUUUUAUUAAAUAAUAAACUAAAAUUAAAAAAGGCAGAUGACAACUGAAGUAAAAAGAAAAUGUCAUGCUUUUUCUAUUGUUAUGACCUGACUGUUAAGAACUCAAUGUAAUGCCUUUAUGUUUGCACUUUCUAUUGAAAAGGAUGAUGUUACGGAGUCUAGUGGAUAGGUAUUCGACUAGCCGGACUGUUCCCCGGACUCCAUGUGUAGGGAUUUGUACAAUGCACAAACAAGGCUAUUGAACUUGACAUUGGUGUCUGUCUUUAUUCCUUUAUCCAACAUAUCAUACUGAAACAGCAUGUUGCCAAACCAUAUAGCCAAGUAUCAUAUGAGUAACAAUUAGCUAACUCCUUUCAUUAGUCUAAUAAUGUGCAACCACCUCUGUACAAUAACAAAGCAUAUUACACUAGAAACAGUUACAAAACUACAGUAUUGCAUGUUUUACAAUUCAUUUACAUGAGGCACGAGCAAAGUAAUACAGCUGAUGGCACACAUGAAAGGCAAGGCAACCAACUAACAUUGAUAACUAAAGCAAUUCUAUCAAUAACAAGAUUAUCAUCACUAGCAAUAUGCUUGAAUCGAAUUUACAAACAAAUAUUUUCCGAGGCUGAUGCGUGGCAAGAAAUAACUGCAGCGUAGCAUUGUUUUUAGCUGCUUCUCUGUGUGUCUUUUCCUGUUUCCUUACAGUCUUUCUAAGUACCAGAAAGCUCCACUAGGGGGGGGCGAUAAAACACCAUGGAACACAAAGGAAAUCCAUAUUAACCACGGAGUCACUCCCUGUAAUCCUGGCCCACUGCGCUGCUCCUGUGUUAAUGGGAGUACUUUGUGCAACCACACAGUUGCACUGCUCAACCAGACAGCAAACGACUCUCAAUUUGGGAUUGGUGCAGUUUCCCCAUCUAUAGUUGCACUGAGAGUGAGCAGAGGUGGCACAUGCCAAGAACAAUGGGGUUGAAGCCAGGCCCUCCUAACAGGAGGGUGUUCCUGUCAGCAAGACCCAAAGAGAAGAGACUGGUUGAGGGAGUGAGGAGUACUUUCUAUAGAGGUGUCACCAGGGGUGCUGCCUGUCCUCUAAGUGGCAGAGGUGUACAGGAACUUUGCCAAUGCUACAGCCCCUUUGGUCACUACAAUGGACAUGUCCACUGAGGUCCCAUUAGUGGAUUCUGGCAUUGGUGAAGUCCAGGCAGGGAGCAUCCUGGCAUACCAGCAGCCUGCUACAACAACUCGCAACAGCGUGAAGAUGCCCCCCCUCCAUCUCUGCCACUUGAUGGUUACAGUCUUGGCCCAUCUGUGUGCAUAUUUGUCCAUAGUGAGCAUGAACUCCUACACAUGAGCUCACUGGCAAUUACAUUGGAAACGGCCCACAAGGUCGAGAGUGCUAUGAGAGUGCAUAGCUUAUCGCUGGAGGGGCAUCACCUUCACAAGCCACGCAUAACCUCCUCCGGCUUCAAAGAGGUCUGCCAUGUGAGGGGGCAGAGUUCUGCAGAACACCUGGUUGACAGAGUCCUCAGGGGAACUCGUCAGUCUGCAGAGAUGAAGAGAGGUCUGUAGAUGGUGUUUGCCAUUGUGGAGGAAUACUGUGUUCUCCAGAAUGUCAACAGUUACCGCUGUGCAUUUCUUAUCUACCCAGAUGCCCCUUGGCUUUGGGUAUUUCCUGAUGGACCCCACAGAGAGUCCAUCAUUUGGCCUUCUGGAGAUAAAGUGCCCAAAUGUCAAGAGCUACGUGGACUGCCCUUACCUAAAGACCCAGAAUGGUGCAACAGCACUGAAACACCAGCAUGCAUACUACUAGCAGCUACAAGGUCAGAUGCUGAUCUCAGGGUUGGAGUGGUGUGACUUUGUGGUAUAUGCCCUGGAGGACAUGCUGAUACAGCACAUCCACAGACUGCCAAGUUUGGGAAGCAAUCAGAGAGAAAGCUGGCCAUUUUUUUUAUUACUCUCCUUGGUAAAAUGUACACUUUUUUCCAGAGAUGACUUGUUGAAAUAUCAAUUAUAAAUAACCAUAGUCUUGUUUUUUCAUUCUGACAAAUAUUAAUUUUAAAAUAUAUAUUUUUAAACUUUUGUACAUCUUCCCUUUAUCUGUGAUUAUUUCUAGCAUAUAUUAUUUCCUAAUGUUAUGAGGUAUAAGGCAUUAUAUUAUGAAAGAUAACCACUUUUUUGUGCUAACUGUUUUAUCCCCCCGAAUCCAACAAAUGUAUUAUAUUGAUGUCAAAUGUUUUGGGUUUGUUAGUGAAAACACUGGCCAAAAUAGUAGAGUGCCGGCCUGUAGACCUGCAACACUGAACAUAAGCAGAAGCAGAGAAAAAAACAGGCCAAUCCAGUUACCAGUCUAAUCGUAUUGAAAUUGACAUCAUCACUAGUCCUUUGCCCAAGCGGCCCAUUCUGGUAGUUGAUGAGGAGGCAGGCAACGGUGUAGAGCUGGUUGAUCCCAGUGAAGGAGAGAGGUAUGAGGGUCAAACAGCUUAUGAUCUUUCGUUCUGCUAAUCAGCCGCUCCACAUGGACCCUCAGCCGAGUGGUGGAUUGCAUCUCCCUGACUUCUGCUGCUGGCAUCUGUAAUCUCUUUAAGAGAAAAGUCGGUCUGUAUACCUUGCAGGGCACACAGUCGUCCACAAGGAAACCUUUGUCCACCAUAAUGGUUAUCCCUGGAUUCAGCGGAGACACGAUGCCGGACGGCUUCAGGAUCUCCUUAAUACGGCGGCAGCAUAAAGGGCUGAAACAAAGGUGAUUGCAUCAUGUGGUGCCAUGCCAAUCAUCAAUUCGAAGGUGCAGUGGGACAGCGCAACUCUGUGCAGUCUACCACCACUUGUGUGUCUGGGUAUUCCUUGAAUUCCUCUGGCAAGUGAGUGCUUAACUGCUUCCUUGGACAUUCAGAUACUUUGAUAAUUAACAUUACUUUAAUUUACCGUUGUAAUUCCUGGUAGUGUGACCUCCUCAUUCCUCUUUGCAGCUGCCCUCGCUCUGGUCACACGUACCAUGUUGUGGGAUGCCGGUUCGAUGAGCUUCCAGAAGGCCAUUAGGUGGGCAUAUGUGGCAAGCUUAUGUCAGAAAUUAGAAAUGUUAUGAUGAAUGAUGAGAGAAGAUGUAUUUAUAGCAAUCCUAGGUACUAUUCACUGCCUCCAGUAUAGAAGACAAGAUGUACAAGCAUGUACACUUAGGCAUGAUGAGAAAAUAAAAUAUUUUUAUUACCUGAGAGCAAAGCUCUAGAAAGAACGUGUAACUUCUAAGCCUGCAAUAAAGAUCAAGGCACUCCUUUUGUGCAAAAAAUUAAUAAAAAGCCUUUAUUUAGGUUGAUUUUGACUUACUUUGUUGCAUGCUUAUUGUUACAAAACGUUUCUACUCAAGCCACAACAUAGUUUUUGCUCUCAGUCGAUUUAGACAAUGCGCAUCCUUUUGAUACCAUAUAUUGUUAUUUUUAUUGAAGUAAAGCAGCACUCUUUAUCCUCUCUUCUCUAUAUUAUUAUUACCGUUAUUAUGACCUACCUUGUGUAGAUCCAACCGUAUGUCGUGUUGGAUGCAGCAAAUCGCUCCAAACAGAAUUGGUGAUGGACAGACGUUUCCUCCAACUGUCUCCCCAGUUGCUCUACCUCCUUAUACGAAAAAAGAUUGCAGUCAGAGUGCAGUAUAACUGCAGUUAGAGUCAAGUAUAACUGCAGUAUGCUGCUAAUACUGCAUCCAAUUUACAGUUUUUUUAGGCAGUAAUUUUGCAGUGUAAUUGAAGUUCAACUGUAGUACACUGCAGAUAUUAUUCAUUUACUGCAUCCAAACCAAAUUGGUUGCUCUCUCCUUAGUCCUACACCGGAUCUUUCCCUUAUGAAAAAAGAUCGCAGCCAGAGUGCAAAU